CACUCAAACUUGGUGUAUGUGCCAAUGUCCUAAAUGGAUUGUUGAACAUAACAUUAGGUCAACCACCAGUGACCCCUUGUUGUUCCCUUUUAAAUGGCCUUGUUGAUCUUGAAGCUGCAGCAUGUCUUUGCACUGCCCUUAAAGCUAACAUUUUGGGCAUUAAUCUUAAUCUUCCAAUUUCACUUAGCUUGCUUCUCAAUGUUUGUUCAAGGAAAGUCCCACGUGAUUUCCAAUGUGCCUAUUAAGUGUGAUAUGGCGUAUACAUAUACACAAUAAAUAUCAAUGUAUCAUUGUGUUAUUAUUUGUGGGUUUUUGUUUGUUUUCUUAAUUCCUUUUGAUGAGUGUUUGAUUCUUGUACGUGCAUGGAUGAUUAUUAACGGCUUGUUAUAGUCUUUCCAUUCACUAUUUGAUUUGUAUUGUCAAGAAUAUUACAAUAAAUAAAUUCCAUUGUUUUGUUGUAUGUAAUGAAAUUGCAAAGAAAUUAAAGAUUGUGAGAUGGUGUAAUUUAUUUGAUUGAGAAAUUUUUUAUAUACACAUAUUUGUAUGUUAACUGUCUGUUUGAUUUCCUUCUCAUUUUUAAAAAAAAAAAUUUAAAAUACAAAAAAAUUGUUUAAUAAACUAUUUUUAAAAUGGUAGUUUUGAAAAUUGAUUUUAUUUUUUCGUUUUAAAACUUAUAAAAAAAAAAGACUAGUGAAAGACGUUUUACUUUUUAGUUUAUAACUUUUCGAUCUGCAAAACCUAAAAAUUGAAAAAGCAUAGAAAGGAUCGGUUUUUAUUAAUAGUACUUUCGCAAAUGUAUUUACAAGCUUGCGUUAUGCUCGGUAGAAAAUAUAAUAUAUUUUUUUCCAUUAUUCCUUGAUAAUUUGAAAAUAUUAUGCAACAAUCAAUUAAAGUAAAAGUUGGUUAAAAGUUAGUUGUGAGUACUACAUACAAAUAUAUAACUUGUUUUCAUUAACUAUUGAGUAAAUACUUUCAAAUUAUUAACAGAUAAUAUAGGUCUCACCGAAUAAAAUGCGGCAUAUGAGAUUUGAAGUAUAGUCAAACUUGGUCUAAGAAAAAAGGUUUGGUCAAAUUUCAGAACAAAAAAAAAAUAAAGUCAAAUUUUCCAUAAAAAAUGCACACUCAGACUUUUUUUUUUUGAGCAAAUGAAAAUUAAAUUAAUAAAAUGUAAAAGAGUACAAAAGUUGGAGAGACAUAUAAAAUCUCACCUAAUAAAUCCACACACUAACAAACGAACAGUGAUAACGAGCACAACCCGACACACUUAUAUAUGAGAGCGAAAUUAGGUUGUAAAAGAGACAUGCAUGAGUGAGAAAAGAAAAAGGAGAAAAUGUGAAUUAAAAGAUGGUGAUUAAAUAAAUUGAGGAAUAUGAGAAAAAAUAAAUUGAGAGAAUUCAUUCAUGCAUGAACAUUUGAAGCACAAACCAAAAAUAAAUAAAAAAAUAAUUGAUGGAUCGACCGUCAACACUCAACACAAAACACGUGCAAGAACCAACAACCUACAACAAACGACAAGUCAACAAUAAGCAACGAGAAAAACGGUCAAACAUCAAACUUAGAGAAUGUCGAAAAUAUCAAACUAGUUCGAAAUCAAUAAGAAAACUAAUGCAUAUAUAUUAAGGCAUAUUAAUUGAAUUGACGUGCUUUUUCUUUUUUCUUUUCUAAUUUUAUUUUUAGAAUUGACUAAAAUCUAUAAUUUUAGCUCAACUAACAAAAACGACUAAGUAAUCUUGACGUUCUCAUUUUUUUUUNNNNNNNNNNNNNNNNNNNNNNNNNNNNNAAAGUGAAAUAAAACUGACAAGUCAAAAAGUAGUUGCCUGGUAAUAAAUUAAAAUUUACAAAAACAAUUGUUUUAAAUUUUCAGUCAAAAUAUUAUAAAAACAAUAAAAAUCAGUCAAAAUAUAUUAAUUAGGGUGAGUUCCUACACUAUAUAAACCCCAUUACUUCUAAAUCAUCUUCACAUAAACUCUUCUUCUCUUAAUUAAGCUCUAAUAGUAUUCAGCCACUAUAAAAGUACUAAUUUAAUUGAGAUGGCUUCUAAAACUUGUUCCACUCUUGCUAUUUUCUUCAUAAUCAACCUCCUCUUUUUUUCACUUGUUUCAGCUUGUGGUUCUCACAAAUGCAAGCCUACACCAAAGCCAACACCAACUCCUUCAAGUGGCUCAUGCCCACGUGAUACACUCAAAUUUGGUGUAUGUGCCAAUGUUCUAGGUGCAUUGUUGAAUAUAACAAUUGGUCAACCACCAGUGACCCCUUGUUGUUCCCUCCUAAAUGGCCUUGUUGAUCUUGAGGCUGCAGCAUGUCUUUGCACUGCCCUUAAAGCCAACAUUUUGGGCAUUAUACAUGUUGACCUUCCAAUUUCACUUAGCUUGCUUCUCAAUGUUUGUUCAAGGAAAGUCCCACA
rnacentral:lncRNA from 1 species